rnacentral:rRNA from 1 species
GACGAACGCUGGCGGCGUGCUUAACACAUGCAAGUCGAGCGGUAAGGCCCUUUCGGGGGUACGACGAGCGGCGAACGGGUGAGUAACACGUGGGUGACCUGCCCUCAGCUCUGGGAUAAGCCUGGGAAACGUGGGUCUAAUACCGGAUAUGACUCCAUGACGCAUGUUGUGGGGUGGAAAGCCUUGUGCGGCUGAGGAUGGGCCCGCGGCCUAUCAGCUUGUUGGUGGGGGG